rnacentral:rRNA from 1 species
UACAGAGGUCUCAAGCGUUUGUUCGGAUUCAUUGGGCGUAAAGGGCGCGUAGGCUGCGGGGCAAGUCGGGUGUGAAAUCUCAGAGCUCAACUCUGAAACUGCACUCGAUACUGCUUUGCUUGAGGACUGGAGAGGAGAUUGGAAUUCACGGUGUAGCAGUGAAAUGCGUAGAUAUCGUGAGGAAGACCAGUGGCGAAGGCGGAUCUCUGGACAGUUCCUGACGCUGAGGCGCGAAGGCCAGGGGGAGCAAACGGGG